GACGAACGCUGGCGGCGUGCUUAACACAUGCAAGUCGAACGGAAAGGCCCUGCUUUUGUGGGGUGCUCGAGUGGCGAACGGGUGAGUAACACGUGAGUAACCUGCCCUUGACUUUGGGAUAACUUCAGGAAACUGGGGCUAAUACCGGAUAGGAGCUCCUGCUGCAUGGUGGGGGUUGGACCGUUUCGGCGGUUGGGGAUGGACUCGCGGCUUAUCAGCUUGUUGGUGGGGUAGUGGCUUACCAAGGCUUUGACGGGUAGCCGGCCUGAGAGGGUGACCGGCGACAUUGGGACUGAGAGACGGCCCAGACUGCUACGGGAGGCAGCGGGGGGGAGUAUUGCACAAUGGGCGGAAGCCUGAUGAAGCAACGCCGCGUGCGGGAUGACGGCCUUCGGGUUGGAAACCGCUUUCGGCUGUGACGAAGCGUGAGUGACGGUAAUGGGUAAAGAAGCACCGGCUAACUACGUG
rnacentral:rRNA from 1 species